rnacentral:rRNA from 16 species
CUGAAUUUAAGCAUAUAACUAAGCGGAGGAAAAGAAACUAACCAGGAUUCCCCUAGUAACGGCGAGUGAAGCGGGAUAAGCUCAACUUGAAAAUCUAAGCGUCUUGUGCGCUUCGAAUUGUAGUCUAUAGAAGCUUUACCAGUGUAUUGCCUCGGUCAAAAUCCCUUGGAAUAGGGUAUCACAGAGGGUGAGAAUCCCGUUUGUGGCUGAGAGUUGCUAUGCGUACGGUAUGCUUUCAACGAGUCGAGUUGCUUGGGACUGCAGCUCAAAGUAGGAGGUAAAUUCCUUCUAAAGCUAAAUAUUGGCGAGAGACCGAUAGCGAACAAGUACCGUGAGGGAAAGAUG